AACGAACGCUGGGGGCGUGCCUAACACAUGCAAGUCGAGCGAGAAAGUCCGCAAGGAUGAGUAAAGCGGCGCACGGGUGCGUAACACGUGGGUAAUCUUCCUUGAAGCCCGGAAUAACUCCCCGAAAGGGGUGCUAAUACCGGAUAAGACCACGGGAUCCUCGGAUCCUGAGGGAAAAGGCGGCCUCUGUAUACAAGCUGUCACUUCGAGAUGAGCCCGCGGCCCAUCAGCUAGUUGGCGGGGUAAUGGCCCACCAAGGCUACGACGGGUAGCUGGUCUGAGAGGACGAUCAGCCACACUGGAACUGAGACACGGUCCAGACUCCUACGGGAGGCAGCAGUGGGGAAUCUUGCGCAAUGGGCGAAAGCCUGACGCAGCAACGCCGCGUGUGUGAUGAAGGUCUUCGGAUCGUAAAGCACUGUCGGGAGGGACGAAUAAGGCGGCGGCUAACAUCCGCCGCGGAUGACGGUACCUCCAAAGGAAGCACCGGCUAACUCUGUGCCAGCAGCCGCGGUAAUACAGAGGGUGCAAGCGUUGUUCGGAAUUAUUGGGCGUAAAGCGCGUGUAGGCGGCCAGGCAAGUUGGGUGUGAAAGCCCUCGGCUUAACCGAGGAAGUGCGCCCAAAACUACUUGGCUUGAGUACCGGAGAGGGUGGCGGAAUUCCCGGUGUAGAGGUGAAAUUCGUAGAUAUCGGGAGGAACACCAGUGGCGAAGGCGGCCACCUGGACGGAUACUGACGCUGAGACGCGAAAGCGUGGGGAGCAAACAGGAUUAGAUACCCUGGUAGUCCACGCUGUAAACGAUGAGCGCUAGGUGUUGUGGGUGUUGACCCCCGCAGUGCCGCAGCUAACGCAUUAAGCGCUCCGCCUGGGAAGUACGGCCGCAAGGCUA
rnacentral:rRNA from 1 species